rnacentral:rRNA from 1 species
GAUGAACGCUGGCGGCGUGCCUAAUACAUGCAAGUCGAGCGAACAGAUGAGGAGCUUGCUCCUCUGACGUUAGCGGCGGACGGGUGAGUAACACGUGGAUAACCUACCUAUCAGACUGGGAUAACUUCGGGAAACCGGAGCUAAUACCGGAUAAUAUAUUGCACCGCAUGGUUCAAUAGUGAAAGACGGUUUUGCUGUCACUACUAGAUGGAUCCGCGCCGCAUUAGCUAGUUGGUAAGGUAACGGCUUAUCAAGGCAACGAUGCGUAGCCGACAUGCUGGGGUGAGCGGCCACACUGGAACUGAGACACGGUCCAGACUCCUACGGGAGGCAGCAGUAGGGAAUCUUCCGCAAUGGGCGGAAGCUUGACGGAGCAACGCCGCGUGAGUGAUGAAGGUCUUCGGAUCGUAAAACUCUGUUAUUAGGGAAGAACAAAUGUGUAAGUAACUAUGCACGUCUUGACGGUACCUAAUCAGAAAGCCACGGCUAACUACGUG